rnacentral:rRNA from 1 species
UACAGAGGUCCCGAGCGUUGUUCGGAUUCACUGGGCGUAAAGGGUGCGUAGGCGGUUCUGAAAGUCGGAUGUGAAAUCUCCAGGCCCAACCUGGAAACUGCAUUAGAAACUACAGGGCUAGAGGCUUGGAGGGGGAACUGGAAUUCUCGGUGUAGCAGUGAAAUGCGUAGAGAUCGAGAGGAACACCAGUGGCGAAGGCGAGUUCCUGGACAAGUCCUGACGCUGAGGCACGAAAGCCAGGGGAGCAAACAGG